UGAGGAAUAUUGGUCAAUGGGCGCGAGCCUGAACCAGCCAAGUAGCGUGCAGGAUGACGGCCCUAUGGGUUGUAAACUGCUUUUGUAUGGGGAUAAAGUCAAUCACGUGUGAUUGUUUGCAGGUACCAUACGAAUAAGGACCGGCUAAUUCCGUGCCAGCAGCCGCGGUAAUACGGAAGGUCCGGGCGUUAUCCGGAUUUAUUGGGUUUAAAGGGAGCGUAGGCCGGAGAUUAAGUGUGUUGUGAAGUGUAGACGCUCAACGUCUGACUUGCAGCGCAUACUGGUUUCCUUGAGUACGCACAACGUUGGCGGAAUUCGUCGUGUAGCGGUGAAAUGCUUAGAUAUGACGAAGAACUCCGAUUGCGAAGGCAGCUGACGGGAGCGCAACUGACGCUUAAGCUCGAAGGUGCGGGUAUCGAACAGGAUUAGAUACCCUGGUAGUCCGCACAGUAAACGAUGGAUGCCCGCUGUUGGUACCUGGUAUCAGCGGCUAAGCGAAAGCAUUAAGCAUCCCACCUGGGGAGUACGCCGGCAACGGUG
rnacentral:rRNA from 1 species